AAUCAACGCUGGCGGCGUGCCUAACACAUGCAAGUCGAGCGCGAAAGGGGAGCAAUCCCCAAGUAGAGCGGCGAACGGGUGAGUAACGCGUGGGUAAUCUGCCUCCGAGUGGGGAACAACACCGGGAAACUGGUGCUAAUACCGCAUGACAUCGUUGGACCUUCGGAUCUGACGAUCAAAGCCGGGGACCGCAAGGCCUGGCGCUUGGAGAGGAGCCCGCGUCCGAUUAGCAGUUGGUGGGGUAAUGGCCCACCAAGGCUACGAUCGGUAGCCGGCCUGAGAGGGCGGACGGCCACACUGGGACUGAGACACGGCCCAGACUCCUACGGGAGGCAGCAGUGGGGAAUUUUCNCAAUGGGCGAAAGCCUGACGAAGCAACGCCGCGUGGAGGAUGAA
rnacentral:rRNA from 1 species